rnacentral:misc_RNA from 1 species
UGGUGAACCGAUGGCUUCUCAUUUCGCUUGGUUCUUGUACUCCGUGUUGGUGUUCCUCGCCUGCCAAGAUGGCGCCCACUCACAAAACUCCGAAUUUGACAUCCAGACACUCGAAGACUUGUCGAAAAAAGUGGAACUCAAUGGUCAGUUCGGUGUGCUGUUUCUACCCGGAAAGAAGCAGCUCAAGGACGUGAAGUGUCAUAGUAUAAAUUACAAGAACUCUAAUGGAGUGGAUGGGGAUUGUAAGUUCGCCGGUGUGGCCCCGAAUACAAAUGAAACAUUGGGGAUUAAAGAGACACGUCGACACAGUGAGUGGCAACUGAUCUACAAAGCGCUCAUGCCCAUGCUUCGAAAAUGGAAAGAGGCCAAGUCAAAUAAGGGUGAUAAAAUUAACUGCCCCGAAUCCCUGUAUCUCUACACCCGCCUCGCUCCAGAUUUUAGCAUUUGGAGAGCCAAGCGAGGCUACACCUGUACGCAAGCAAUUGUUUGCAAGAUCGAAAACAUUUUCCGCAAAGCUUCGUGCCCCAAACCAAGAAUCGUCGUGGGAUUUUCCGAGGUGACUACAAAAGUAGAUAAAAAAGUUGAAAAGGAGUACAAAAAAAAGGCGUGCAUGGGUUAUAAAGUGAUGCUGGAGCACGACAUAACCGAGUAUCACCUCACGAGCCAACUUCCCAACAAAAAAUUUGACUGCGAUGAUGUCAAAGUCAAAGUACCUGAUUUGCUUCCGUGUGCAAAGGUCAUCAAACAGACAGGGUAAUCCCAGGCGUGGAAAUGGACCGCGUGGAAGGACUUCAGUGGCCUUUCUCUGCUACGACAAGCUCCCUCGGCCAGGCCACGUCAAGGCGUCGCCCUCAGGCCACGUCAAGGCGUCGCCCUACGGACUCGCUCGCUAAACGGACCAGAAAUAGGACUUGACCGCAAGCUAUGUUGAUUAAGCUUGGGGUUCGACUUGAUCUUUCGGCUUGAUUCUUUCCCAUUUCGUUUUGAUUCUUGGAAGAACGGAAGGAAAGGUUGCUGAUUCUUAUCUUCCAUCAUCAUUAUUGAAUCGAUCACAUUCACGAACAUAUAUACAAAUAUAUAUAUAUAUAUAU